rnacentral:rRNA from 1 species
UACGUAGGGUGCAAGCGUUUGUCCGGAAUUAUUGGGCGUAAAGAGCUCGUAGGCGGUUUGUCGCGUCGAAUGUGAAAACCCGGGGGCUCAACCCCGGGCCUGCAUUCGAUACGGGCAGACUAGAGUUCGGUAGGGGAGUCUGGAAUUCCUGGUGUAGCGGUGAAAUGCGCAGAUAUCAGGAGGAACACCGGUGGCGAAGGCGGGACUCUGGGCCGAUACUGACGCUGAGGAGCGAAAGCGUGGGGAGCAAACAGG